AUUGAACGCUGGCGGCAGGCCUAACACAUGCAAGUAGAGCGGAACGACGGCCGGAAGAGUAAUGCCUAGGAAUCUGCCGGGUCGUAGGGGAGAACGUCAGGAAAAGGGCGCUAAUACCGCAUAGUAGAUGCUUCGCCUUGUACGGAUUCUCCAGUUGGUGGGGUAAAGGCCUACAAAGGGGACGAUCCGGAACUGGUCUGAGAGGAUGAUCAGUCACACUGGAACUGAGACACGGUCCAGAUUCCUACGGGAGGCAGCAGUGGGGAUCAUUGGACAAUGGGCGAAAGCCUGAUCCAGCCAUGCCGCGUGUGUGAAGAAGGUCUUCGGAUUGUAAAGCACUUUAAGUUGGGAGGCGUUACCAAAAGAAUAAGCACCUGCUAACUUCGUGCCAGCAGCCGCGGUAAUUC
rnacentral:rRNA from 1 species